rnacentral:rRNA from 1 species
GAUGAACGCUGGCGGCGUGCCUAAUACAUGCAAGUCGAGCGAACAGACGAGGAGCUUGCUCCUUUGACGUUAGCGGCGGACGGGUGAGUAACACGUGGGUAACCUACCUAUAAGACUGGGAUAACUUCGGGAAACCGGAGCUAAUACCGGAUAAUAUUUCGAACCGCAUGGUUCGAUAGUGAAAGAUGGCUUUGCUAUCACUUAUAGAUGGACCUGCGCCGUAUUAGCUAGUUGGUAAGGUAACGGCUUACCAAGGCAACGAUACGUAGCCGACCUGAGAGGGUGAUCGCCCACACUGGAACUGAGCAACGGUCCAGACUCCUACGGGAGGCAGCAGUAGGGAAUCUUCCGCAAUGGGCGAAAGCCUGACGGAGCAACGCCGCGUGAGUGAUGAGGGUCUUCGGAUCUUAAAACUCUGUUAUUAGGGAAGAACAAACGUGUAAGUAACUGUGCACGUCUUGACGGUACCUAAUCAGAAAGCCACGGCUAACUACGUG